AAGUCGUAACAAGGUUUCCGUAGGUGAACCUGCGGAAGGAUCAUUAUGAAUUUGUGUGCCUGUUUUGCCGCAAGGCGGAACACCACUUUUUCUGUGAACUGGAUCCGGUUGGCCUCUCUGUGUUUUUUGUUUCUGAAUUUUUUUGUUUUGCUUUUGUUGUGGAUGGCUGGGCAAGUGAGCUUGGCUGAAAGCAGCAAGAGUGUGAGCAGAGAGAGAAGGAAGCGGGAACCGUGGGGGGGCUAAUCGGGUUGCCAUUGAAAUUUGUUUUCUGUUGUGUUUUGUUCUCUCAAGUUUUCUUAACUGAAAAAAAAAGACAACUUUCAGCAAUGGAUCUCUUGGCUCUU
rnacentral:misc_RNA from 1 species